GACGAACGCUGGCGGCGUGCUUAACACAUGCGAGUCGAACGGAAAGGCCCUGCUUUUGUGGGGUGCUCGAGUGGCGAACGGGUGAGUAACACGUGAGUAACCUGCCCUUGACUUUGGGAUAACUUCAGGAAACUGGGGCUAAUACCGGAUAGGAGCUCCUGCUGCAUGGUGGGGGUUGGAAAGUUUCGGCGGUUGGGGAUGGACUCGCGGCUUAUCAGCUUGUUGGUGGGGUAGUGGCUUACCAAGGCUUUGACGGGUAGCCGGCCUGGGAGGGUGACCGGCCACAUUGGGACUGGGAUACGGCCCAGACUCCUACGGGAGGCAGCAGUGGGGAAUAUUGCACAAUGGGCGGAAGCCUGAUGCAGCAACGCCGCGUGCGGGAUGACGGCCUUCGGGUUGUAAACCGCUUUCGCCUGUGACGAAGCGUGAGUGACGGUAAUGGGUAAAGAAGCACCGGCUAACUACGUG
rnacentral:rRNA from 1 species